UACGUAGGGUGCGAGCGUUGUCCGGAAUUACUGGGCGUAAAGAGCUCGUAGGUGGUUUGUCGCGUUGUCCGUGAAAACUCACAGCUCAACUGUGGGCGUGCGGGCGAUACGGGCAGACUGGAGUACUGCAGGGGAGACUGGAAUUCCUGGUGUAGCGGUGGAAUGCGCAGAUAUCAGGAGGAACACCGAUGGCGAAGGCAGCUCGCUGGGACGGUACUGACGCUGAGGCGCGAAAGCGUGGGGAGCAAACAGG
rnacentral:rRNA from 1 species